AAGUCGUAACAAGGUUUCCGUAGGUGAACCUGCGGAAGGAUCAUUACCGAGUUAGGGUCUAUUCAGGCCCGACCUCCAACCCUGUGUUUACAUUACCAUGUUGCUUUGGCGGGCCGCUCUUCGGGCCGUCCGGGGGGUUUUCAUCAGGCCCCUUGGCCCGCUGGCCUGCGCCGGGCGUGGCCCUUAUUAAAAUUCUUUUUUUAACUGUGAUGUCUGAGUCUAAAUAUAAAUCGUUAAAA
rnacentral:misc_RNA from 1 species